CCUACGGGAGGCUGCAGUGGGGAAUAUUGCACAAUGGGCGCAAGCCUGAUGCAGCCAUGCCGCGUGUGUGAAGAAGGCCUUCGGGUUGUAAAGCACUUUCAGCGGGGAGGAAGGCGUUAAGGUUAAUAACCUUGGCGAUUGACGUUACCCGCAGAAGAAGCACCAGCUAACUCCGUGCCAGCAGCCGCGGUAAUACGGAGGGCGCAAGCGUUAAUCGGAAUUACUGGGCGUAAAGCGCACGCAGGCGGUCUGUCAAGUCGGAUGUGAAAUCCCCGGGCUCAACCUGGGAACUGCAUUCGAAACUGGCAGGCUAGAGUCUUGUAGAGGGGGGUAGAAUUCCAGGUGUAGCGGUGAAAUGCGUAGAGAUCUGGAGGAAUACCGGUGGCGAAGGCGGCCCCCUGGACAAAGACUGACGCUCAGGUGCGAAAGCGUGGGGAGCAAACAGGAUUAGAUACCCUGGUAGUC
rnacentral:rRNA from 1 species